GGGGGUGUAGCUCAGUAGUAGAGCAUUUGACUGCAGAUUUAGAGGUCCUUGGUUCAAAACCAAGCGCCCCCU